GUGAGAGGAGGACUCCACCUACCUCCAACACUAAUAAAAGCCCAGGAUCCCAGGGAUAAGAGCACCUCUGCUAUCACACUCUCAGGCAGGUGGCAGUUGUGGCGCUGGCACCAAGUCCUCCGGACCCAACUGAGACAGGACUCAUGGCAUCAAGAACCUACAUCACGGCAGUCAUUGUCUCCAUCUUCUUCAUGGUUAUCCUGUCCUGCUCAAGUGCUCCAGUGACCCCCACAGAUUCCCAAGUGAUCGUGUGCCAGCCCUGGCUCCUAUGUGGGACUGUGGCCUACAACCCCCAGGAGAAUCAAUGCUGUGAGGAUGGCAGUGUCCAGCCCUUCCCCCUGAGCUGUGGUCCUACAUUCACCUAUGACCCCUGCUUUCAGCAUUGCUGCCCCGACUCUUACCGGGGGAAGUACACUGUGGUUAAUAAGACAAGGGGAGGGACCGAGAGAAGUGACUGUGAAAUGGCAGUAGGAGCUGACAUCCGGUUGGGAAGGCCAAUAUCAGUCAUGCACAAUCCACUGGGUGCUGGGCUCCUUCUUUCUUAUUAUUAUAUGAAUAUUAAUAAAUGAUAAUAACCACCUCCUUAUGUCACUCAUUCCCUUUACACUUUCAUUAGAGGCUCUCACAAACAGCCUUGUGAGGGGAGAUAAUACAGUGCUGCCUCCUUUUUACAGAUGGAGAAACUGAGGCCCAGAAAGGGAUCAGGAUUUGCCCAAGGUCACACAGUGGGUCAAGACUGGGAUUGCAACCCAGAUCUCCUUAUGCCUAGCCACCUAAAUGCACAGAUAUGGAAUCAGAAACACCCACAUUCACCUGCAGACCUUCCUGGUUUCUCUCCCUCUUUGCACCCUGGUUCACAGCUUCAUGAAUGCCAAGUCCUGGAUUUGGCAGUGGGGUAGCAAGUUGAGCUGUGAAGACAGAGACCCCAGGCAGUACUGGACAGGCACAAUGAGAAAGGAAUGGAGGAGCAGGGAGCCUGAAGAGCCCAGCCUGGUUCUGCUCUGGGCAGGGAGGGAAGGGGGCUUAUUUGAGGGGUAGAAGGAAGACAGAAAUAAAACUACUGCCUUGGGUUUUCA
rnacentral:lncRNA from 1 species